rnacentral:rRNA from 1 species
UACGUAGGGCGCAAGCGUUGUCCGGAAUUAUUGGGCGUAAAGAGCUCGUAGGCGGUCUGUCGCGUCGGAUGUGAAAGCCCGGGGCUUAACCCCGGGUCUGCAUUCGAUACGGGCAGACUAGAGUGUGGUAGGGGAGAUCGGAAUUCCCGGUGUAGCGGUGAAAUGCGCAGAUAUCGGGAGGAACACCGGUGGCGAAGGCGGUUCUCUGGGCCUUACCUGACGCUGAGGAGCGAAAGCGU